ensembl:lncRNA
GUUUAAAUUGAAGUGUAUAAGUCAUUUUCAUAAAGUGGUAUCGUUUUUGGAGUUAAUACUCUAUUAAAACUAAGGUGUAAAGUCAGCAACAUAUAAGCAAAAGGCGUAAAGACGCUAUCCCCGUUUCACAGACAAGUCUAGUCAAGACUAAUUGAACUAUGGCCUAAUCCUGGUUCAAUCUGUCUGUGACCUAAAUAAUAUAGCAUAUUUUUGAUUGUGCUGCAUAACUAACAGGAGAGCUUUAUUAAGUACACGACUCAAAAGUGGAUUUGCAUAAACCAUAUAUACAUCUUGAAGACUAUUACUAAAUGUCUAUUUAUUAUCUGACAGGAUAAUGUUUGAUAAGUAUUGCAGAUAAGCUCAUUUAAUAUACAUGACACAGGCAUCUGACUGAUGUGUGUGUGAUAUUGUGUAGAAUUCACUUUUGUCAACACUGCUUUAGAUGAGUGUAAGUCAUGUAAACAAACAAACUAAACUAAACAUAAGUUAUCUUUUUUUGUCCGUUUGCACUAUUGAUAAUUUAAGGAACAUUUUUGUUGGAUAAAAAGUGAGUUACAUCAGUUACUAACUCAACAUGUAAAUGCAAUAUUGAGCAGAUAAAUCAGAGAGGAGACUGACUCUUGUCUGGAUGUUACAGGGACAGAUGAGACACACGUGUGUUUAUCUGCUGCAGAGACACUGAUGAAGAAAUGCUGCCAUCAAAGGAUUUGUGUAAGUACAGUACAAAAAUAAAUGAAACAUUUUAAAUCUUAAGUUGUAGUUUAUUUUAAUGUAAUUUUAAACAACUAUUACAGAACUUUUCUGAUUCUUGAUUUCUGUGCAUUUGCUGCAGAUCUCUUGUGGUGGAGCAGACCCUGCAAAGAAAGGUGAAAAAAAGGAAAGACCUGAAACAAAAGAAUAAAUGCUCUUAUUACAGGGGCCUACAAACCCCUGAUCAACCUGGAGAAGAGAGCCUUGCUCAAGGACACACUGGUGGUUUUGAACCAGUUCAGUGGUUUAGCCCCCUACAAAAGUAAUAAAUCAAUGCAUGUACUUGUAAACUCUGUAAAUGUUUUCCAGGUAGUGGUGCUCAUGGAGAGUUUGAAUGAAGCUUUGUUUCAUAUGUUGUUGACUUGUACAUGUAUGCAUUUAUUGUGAUGCUAACUUUUAUGGGUCAAAGACGAAAAAGGGUUUAAGCAUAAAAAUGAUAAGUGUAAUACUGCUUUAAAUUGUUGUUGUCCGCCCCCCCCAAAAAAUUUUAAAACAGUUUUCUGUUUAAUUUAAUUGCAAUUUUGUUUUUGUUUUUCUUA